GCAGUUGUAUAGGCUGAAAAUUGCGUGGUCUGGCAAGGGUCAGUAUAGAGAGUAUGUUGCCAAAAGCCGUAAAGAACUUCGAAUUCUGAUGAAGAAAAUUAAAAAAAAGGAAGCUGAAAUUCUGGGAAUAAGCAAGGAAAAGGAGGAAGCUGAAAUGAAAAGGAAGGAAGAGGAGGAAGCUGAAAGGAAGGAAAAGGAGGAAGCUGAAAUGAAAAGGAAGGAAGAGGAGGAACCUGAAAGGAAGGAAAAGGAGGAAGCUGAAAUUCUGAAAAAAAGCAAGGAAAAGAAGGAAGCUAAAAUUCAGAAAAAGAAAAUGAAAAAGAAGGAAGCUAAAAUUCGAAAGCAAGCAGCUAAAAAAGUUUGUGAGGAAGGGGCUAAAGCAUG
rnacentral:lncRNA from 1 species